UACGGAGGGAGCUAGCGUUGUUCGGAAUUACUGGGCGUAAAGCGCACGUAGGCGGCUUUGUAAGUUAGAGGUGAAAGCCCGGGGCUCAACUCCGGAACUGCCUUUAAGACUGCAUCGCUUGAAUCCAGGAGAGGUGAGUGGAAUUCCGAGUGUAGAGGUGAAAUUCGUAGAUAUUCGGAAGAACACCAGUGGCGAAGGCGGCUCACUGGACUGGUAUUGACGCUGAGGCGCGAAAGCGUGGGGAGCAACAGG
rnacentral:rRNA from 1 species